UGGGGAAUAUUGGACAAUGGGCGCAAGCCUGAUCCAGCAAUGCCGCGUGGAUGAAGAAGGUCUUCGGAUUGUAAAGUCCUUUCGGCGGGGACGAUGAUGACGGUACCCGCAGAAGAAGCCCCGGCUAACUUCGUGCCAGCAGCCGCGGUAAUACGAAGGGGGCUAGCGUUACUCGGAAUGACUGGGCGUAAAGGGAGCGUAGGCGGUUUGGACAGUUAGGCGUGAAAUUCCUGGGCUCAACCUGGGGGCUGCGCUUAAUACAUCCAGACUUGAGUGUGGAAGAGNGUCGGGGAAUUCCCAGUGUAGAGGUGAAAUUCGUAGAUAUUGGGAAGAACACCGGUGGCGAAGGCGGCGACCUGGUCCAUUACUGACGCUGAGGCGCGAAAGCGUGGGGAGCAAACA
rnacentral:rRNA from 1 species